GAUGAAGAACGUAGCGAAAUGUGAUAAGUAAUGUGAAUUGCAGAAUUCAGUGAAUCAUCGAAUCUUUGAACGCACAUUGCGCCCGCCAGUAUUCUGGCGAGCAUGCCUGUUCGAGCGUCAUUUCAACCAUCAAGCCCCAGGCUUGUGUUGGAGCCCUGCGGCUGCCGCAGCCUCCCAAAACCAGUGGCGGGCUCGCUAUCACACCGAGUGCAGUAGUUUACUCUUCGCUCAGGGCGUGUGGCGGGUGCUAGCCGUGAAACCCCCAACUUCUCAAGGUUGACCUCGGAUCAGGCAGGAAUACCCGCUGAACUUAAGCAUAUCAAUAAGCGGAGGA
rnacentral:misc_RNA from 1 species